rnacentral:rRNA from 1 species
AGUGAACGCUGGCGGUAGGCCUAACACAUGCAAGUCGAACGGCAGCACAGUAAGAGCUUGCUCUUACGGGUGGCGAGUGGCGGACGGGUGAGGAAUACAUCGGAAUCUACUUUUUCGUGGGGGAUAACGUAGGGAAACUUACGCUAAUACCGCAUACGACCUACGGGUGAAAGUAGGGGAUCUUCGGACCUUGCGCGAUUGAAUGAGCCGAUGUCGGAUUAGCUAGUUGGCGGGGUAAGGGCCCACCAAGGCGACGAUCCGUAGCUGGUCUGAGAGGAUGAUCAGCCACACUGGAACUGAGACACGGUCCAGACUCCUACGGGAGGCAGCAGUGGGGAAAAUUGGACAAUGGGCGCAAGCCUGAUCCAGCCAUACCGCGUGGGUGAAGAAGGCCUUCGGGUUGUAAAGCCCUUUUGUUGGGAAAGAAAAGCAGCAGGUUAAUACCCCGCUGUUCUGACGGUACCCAAAGAAUAAGCACCGGCUAACUUCGUG